rnacentral:hammerhead_ribozyme from 1 species
GCUGAUGAGUCCCAAACAGGACGAAACAGAUGUCC